UCUAGAACUCAAGAUAUGAGUUGAACACUGAACAGUGUUUGGGCUACAUGACAAAUUCUGACUUCUCUUUUGUUGCUACAAUUUGAACUUGAACAUGGUCAUUUUGAAUCUUGAACUUUCAUGAAAGUGUUAGGCCUAUGUCUUAGCUUUCCAUC
rfam:Populus trichocarpa scaffold_6_contig_294, whole genome shotgun sequence.